CUGGUUGAUCCUGCCUGAACUGAUGUGCUUAUCUCAAAGAUUAAGCCAUGCAUGUCUAAGUAUAAACGAUUUAAUCGUGAAACCGCGAAUGGCUCAUUAUAACAGCUAUAAUUUACUUGAUCUUGACACAAUCCUACUUGGAUAACUGUGGUAAUUCUAGAGCUAAUACAUGCAUUAAAGCUCUGACCUCACGGGAAGAGUGCAUUUAUUAGAACAAAACCAAGCGGCUUCGGCUGUUUCUGGUUGACUCAUAGUAACUGAGCUGAUCGCAUGGUCUUGCACCGGCGACGUGUCUUUCAAGUAUCUGCCGUAUCAACUUUCGAUGGUAGUGUAUCUGACUACCAUGGUGAUCACGCGUAACGGAGAAUAAGGGUUCGGCUCCGGAGAGUUCGCCUGAGAAAUCGCGAACACAUCUAAGGAAGGCAGCAGGCACGAAAAUUACCCACUCUCAGCACGAGGAGGUAGUGACGAAAAAUAACGAGACCGUUCUCUUAUGAGGCCGGUCAUCGGAAUGGGUACAAUUUAAACCCUUUAACGAGUAUCUAUGAGAGGGCAAGUCUGGU
rnacentral:rRNA from 1 species